rnacentral:sRNA from 1 species
UGAUUAACAUACAUGUUUGUUGUGGA